GACGAACGCUGGCGGCGUGCUUAACACAUGCAAGUCGAACGAUGAAAGCUGGAGCUUGCUCCGGCUGGAUUAGUGGCGAACGGGUGAGUAACACGUGAGCAAUCUGCCCUUGACUCUAGGAUAACUCCGAGAAAUCGGUGCUAAUACCGGAUAUGACCCUUGGCGGCAUCGCUGGGGGUGGAAAGUUUCACGGUCAAGGAUGAGCUCGCGGCCUAUCAGCUUGUUGGUGAGGUAAUGGCUCACCAAGGAGACGAUGGGGAGCCGGCCUGCGAGGGUGAGCGGCCACACUGGGACUGCGGCACGGCCCAGACGCCUACGGGGGGCAGCAGUGGGGAAUAUUGCACAAUGGGCGCAAGCCUGAUGCAGCAACGCCGCGUGGGGGAUGACGGCCUUCGGGUUGUGAACCUCUUUUAGCAGGGGAGAAGCGAAAGUGACGGUACCUGCAGAAAAAGCACCGGCUAACUACGUGCCAGCAGCCGCGGUAA
rnacentral:rRNA from 1 species